UACGUAGGUGGCAAGCGUUGUCCGGAUUUAUUGGGUUUAAAGGGUGCGUAGGCGGUUUUCUAAGUCAGCAGUGAAAUACGGCAGCUCAACUGUCGAGGUGCUGUUGAUACUGGGGAACUUGAGUACUGAUGAGGUAGGCGGAAUGGACGGUGUAGCGGUGAAAUGCUUAGAGAUCGUCCAGAACACCGAUAGCGAAGGCAGCUUACUAAGGAGUAACUGACGCUGAGGCACGAAAAGUGUGGGGAUCAAACAGG
rnacentral:rRNA from 1 species